GGAACCAAGCCACUCCUUCAAUAUUUUGCUUAGAAAUCUCAGCUAAAAAUCCGAUCUUACUGCUUGCAAGUUCUGUCUUCCAGAAAAGACUAGGACACAAACACAAUUCAAACAAGUUCUUUGCUACUUUCUAAUGGGGAUUAUCUUUUCUCCAUUGUCCAGUCACAUGUCUGAGACCUCAUUGGAAUGGCCUUUACCAUCUGUAUUUCCACCAGCAUUCUUCCAAGAUGUAGUGAAGUGUUGAUGAACUGUAUUUAUUUCAGGUUGAUGUCAAUUUACAGCUACAAGAACAUUUAAUUGAAUCUGUUGAAGAAAGGACGUGAAGCAUUUCUGGAUAUACGAAAUUACACUGAUAUUGGUAAACUGUAAACAAUCAACCUUUGGGGUUCUCUCUACAAUACUUGCAUUUCCAUGACCUUUGCUCCUUCUCAGAGGGUAUACUCAACUAUGUAACUGUCAGAUUCUUUCUUCAUCAAGAUCAUGGAUCAUAUUACACGCGAGAGAGGAACCAUAUCAGUUCCUCCACCACAAUUGCAGCAAGGAAGACAUUUCAUUCUGUGGGAGGAAGAAAUCAGGAAUGCUGAGUAGGGGCACCUCUCUCUGAUCCCAUAUGAAGGAAAUGUUUGAGUAAAGGACUAUCUCCAGAUUAGUGAUGUUAUACUAGUGGAGACAGUAUGGGAUAAUAGGAGGGCACUGGACUUGGAGCCAACGUAAUUUUCCUUUAAUGAAGAACUUGUUGCCUCAGCUUCUGGGAGUCCUGUUGGCAGACAGUAUUCAGCUGUCACCACCUUCAGUGAUUGCUUCAGCUGCAGAGAACUGUGUCUGCUAAGUUCAUACCCCUUCCUCGGGUAGCCCUCAUCCAAAGCAGGAAGAUUGCGGGCAGGCCACAGAAAGAGCUAGGCCUGAGAAGCCCCAGCAGUUUUUAUACUGGAUGUUGGAGUCAUCCCAGCCCAGGCAUCAAGCAUGUGAAUGAGACCUGUGAGGUGACCACAGCUCUGGUGAUCACAUGAUUGCAUGGUCCCAAGUAAAGAUUGACUAGCUGAGCCUAGUCAGUUCUCAGAUAAGCAAAAUAAAUGAGUGCCAUUAUCUUAAGACACCACUUUAAGGUAGUU